CCCCAUCUGUCAUCUGUUUACAUUGCUGUUAUAAUUGACUGCAUCAGAAUCAGUUAUCAGAUGCAUAUCAGAAGGGGGAAUUGCAGGAGCUGUUGGAGAAGGCAAUGUUGUCCUGAAGCUAUGGAAGGAAUGAGAGGACUUUCCCAAGUUUGUACUUUGUAAUCUUCCCCCUAAAGUUAUACUGUGGCUCAGUGACAAUGGACCAAAUAAAUUGUAUGAUGCAUUUUGUGUCCACAAUUGCCUAUUAUGAUUACUGCAAUACAAAUAUCCCGGUAUUUGAGUACAAAACAGAUAAGUCACAAUUAUACCCUU